GAUGAACGCUGGCGGCGUGCCUAAUACAUGCAAGUCGAGCGAACAGACGAGGAGCUUGCUCCUCUGACGUUAGCGGCGGACGGGUGAGUAACACGUGGAUAACCUACCUAUAAGACUGGGAUAACUUCGGGAAAACGGAGCUAAUACCGGAUAAUAUAUUGAACCGCAUGGUUCAAUAGUGAAAGACGGUUUUGCUGUUACUUAUAGAUGGAUCCGCGCCGCAUUAGCUAGUUGGUAAGGUAACGGCUUACCAAGGCGACGAUGCGUAGCCGACCUGAGAGGGUGAUCGGCCACACUGGAACUGAGACACGGUCCAGACUCCUACGGGAGGCAGCAGUAGGGAAUCUUCCGCAAUGGGCGAAAGCCUGACGGAGCAACGCCGCGUGAGUGAUGAAGGUCUUCGGAUCGUAAAACUCUGUUAUUAGGGAAGAACAAAUGUUUAAGUAACUAUGCACGUCUUGACGGUACCUAAUCAGAAAGCCACGGCUAACUACGUG
rnacentral:rRNA from 1 species